rnacentral:rRNA from 1 species
AAAGAACGCUGGCGGCAUGCCUAACACAUGCAAGUCGAACGAAUUAAUUUUAGCUUGCUAAAAUUAGUUAGUGGCAAACGGGUGAGUAACACGUAGGAAUCUACCUUGCAGUAAAGGAUAACAGUUGGAAACGACUGCUAAUACUAUAUACGCUCUUCGGAGGAAAGAUUUAUCGCUGCAAGAUGAGCCUGCGCUAGAUUAGGUAGUUGGUGAGGUAAUGGCUCACCAAGCCUACGAUCUAUAGCUGGUCUGAGAGGAUGAUCAGCCACACUGGGACUGAGACACGGCCAGACUCCUACGGGAGGCAGCAGUGGGGAAUAUUGGACAAUGGGCGCAAGCCUGAUCCAGCAAUGCCGCGUGAAUGAUGAAGG